CGCAGAAGCGUUUUCCCUCUGAAUGUAUCGAAACACGUGGGCACUUAAAGAAGUUUCUACUCUCAACUACCCAUUCAGAGUUCUUGGGUCUGGGUUCUGCCGCCUGCAUUUUUCACAAGUCCUAGAGCGUACUAAAUUAAGAGAGCCCUCCAGGAGAGUUCUGGGUUGCUCCUGGGUCCUGUUGGAUACUUGCUAGUUUGUUGGGAUCUAAGACAAUUGGCUCAUUUUGAAAUCAGAAAAGAAUAGAAAUUGUCCCCUCCAAGAAAAACUUGCCGUGCUCCCAAGAAGGGGUUUCCUACCCACAUUCAGAGUCCAAGUGCUGAACUCCCUGUGAAAAGGCCCAGGAAUCCAGUCCUGUCUCGGGUCUCCUCAGUUGGCUGUGCCCACUCACCCCCACCCUUACUUACCACCUUCAGGCUCUUCCCAGUUUCACAGGAAGCCAAGUCCCGCCUCACCCAGGCUCCUGACAACAGGUUGGAGAAGUAAUAAAUUGUGCAAGUUAAUUCAAGGGCCACCUUUGCCCUCUUAGGAGCACAAAUUGUUCCUGAGGAGUUUGGCUUGCUUCCUGGAGACAAAAGGAGACACUAAUUUACCUCUGACUGCUCUUUGGGCAUUAAAACAGGUCCCAGUGUUCUCUCGGGGCAAGUACCUGUCAUUUACCUAAUCAGCGAACCUGACCGAAUCCGGGCACACCCCUCCCUGGCACAGAAAACACUGACUUCUUUUUCUUCCCUCUUAUUUGCUACCAGGAUGUUUUGCUCAUUAUCGCAAUCAUUGCUAACAUUUAUUGCCAAUUUACCAAGCUCUUUAUACCCAUUAAUGUAAUUUCUCCCAAGGACCUUCUAGGGCAGAACUGUCAUUACCCCCAUUUCACAGGAGAGCAAAUUGAGGCCAGGAGAGCUGUGGCAAGCACUGCUAUGUAUCUCCCAAUGUCCAUUUCAAAGCAAAAGAAAUCCCAUUUUUAGCAGGGAACAUGGCCACUUGGAAUUUCCCAGCCUCCUUUGUGGGUAGGUGGUGACAUGUGACUCAAUUAUGGCUAACAGAAGGAAGGGUUCUGGAGAACCCUGAGCCAAGGUGGAUAUGCUCCCUUUGCUGGUGCUUCUUUGUCCCUUCUUCUACUUGCAGUCUGGAACACAAAUGCCGCCCUCUUGGACCACGAGGCGGGACCCUGGACGGAAGUGCGUCUGGCUGGGAGGAUCCUGUGUCCCUGAUGCUGCUCGACACUCUAACCAGGCCUGGCCUGGACUUUUCCAUCAGAGAGAAAUAAGCUCCGUUCUUCUUUAACAGAAGUUGGUGAGAGCACACCACGGGCCAGCCCUGUGUUAAAUGCUGGAGCCUUCCAGGUAAGGGGCUUGGGGGUUUGCCGUGUGGGCCCCAGUCCUUCCCAUCCCUAUACGCUUGGCAUUGCUGUCCCUCCGGUCAAGAAGCAGAGUCCGUUUCUCCAGCCCUCCAGUCUGGACUUGGCCGUGUGGCUUGCUUUGGCCUGGUAGGCAUUAGCAAACAUGAUGCAAGCAGCGGCUUGUGCACUGGGGAUCGUUCGUUGCUGCUGGGAAUCCUGCAAUCACCGCUGUGCGAAUGAGCCCGGCUGGGGCUGGCCUGCUGGGUGAGGAGGGGUGCGCGGUCAUUGAGCCCGCUGCCGAACACGUGAGUGAGGAUCUCCUGGAUCUCCCAGUCCCAUUUAAGCCACUCCAGGCCGGAGCUACCCAGAGUAGUGAGAAAUAAUAAAUGUUUGUUGUUUUAAGCCACUGAAUUUUGGGGUGUUUUGUCAUUCAGCAAAAGCCAGCUUGCUCGAGGGCUAUCGGUGCGCACGCUCUGGCUACAAGCUACAAGAGGAUUCAUCAUUUCACAGAUCAAGAAGUUGGAGAUAGCUGCCAUGUACCCCAGACCUCAUGUCCUUAGAAGACAGCAUCCCAAAGGUGAAGUCGUGACUCAGCAGGCCUUCUGGGAGCCUUGAAAAACGCUAAUAGUUACCAGGAAUUUCCAGGGACAGGAACAGAGGAGGCGGACUGUACAUCUUUCCCAAACUGGGUUGUCCACAGAAGGUUAUUUUCCUCAGAGCACCUUCUGGCACUUUCGGUCAGGGAACUGGAAGCUUUGGGAACUGCUAAGAGAGUGAGUACGGUGGUUCUCGACCAGGGUAAUGGUGUCCCCCAUGGGACAUUGGGCAAUGUCUGGAGACAUUCUGGAUUGUCUUUACUGCAGGAGGAAUUGAGGUGGGGGAGGCCAGAGAUGAUGCUGAACAUCCUACAAUGCACAGCACAGACACCGCCAGCACCCCCCUCCCCCCGUCGACUUCCUCUG